GAUGAACGCUGGCGGCGUGCUUAACACAUGCAAGUCGAGCGAUUCUCUUCGGAGAAGAGCGGCGGACGGGUGAGUAACGCGUGGGUAACCUGCUCUGUACACACGGAUAACAUACGGAAAGGUAUGCUAAUACGAGAUAAUAUGCUCUUAUCGCAUGGUAGAAGUAUCAAAGCUUUUGCGGUACAGGAUGGACCCGCGUCUGAUUAGCUAGUUGGUAAGGUAACGGCUUACCAAGGCGACGAUCAGUAGCCGACCUGAGAGGGGGAUCGGCCACCAUGGAACUGAGACACGGUCCAAACUCCGACGGGAGGCAGCAGGGGGGAAUAUUGCACAAUGGGCGAAAGCCUGAUGCAGCACCGCCGCGUGAGCGAUGCAGGCGUGCGGGUCGUAAAGCUCUGUCCUCAAGGAAGAUAAUGACGGUACGUGAGGAGGAAGCCCCGGCUAACUACGUGCCAGCAGCCGCCGAAACAC
rnacentral:rRNA from 1 species